rnacentral:rRNA from 1 species
UACGUAGGGGGCUAGCGUUGUCCGGAUUUAUUGGGCGUAAAGAGCGUGUAGGCGGCCAGGUAGGUCUGCUGUGAAAACUCGAGGCUCAACCUCGAGACGUCGGCGGAAACCAUCUGGCUAGAGUCCGGAAGAGGAGAGUGGAAUUCCGUGGAUGUAGCGGUGAAAUGCGCAGGUAUCAGGAAGAACACCCGUGGCGAAGGCGGCUCUCUGGGACGGUACUGACGCUGAGACGCGAAAGCGUGGGGAGCGAACGAGGAG